rnacentral:rRNA from 1 species
UACGUAGGGGCAAGCGUUGUCCGGAAUCAUUGGGCGUAAAGCGCGCGUAGGCGGCCCGGUAAGUCCGCUCUGAAAGUCCAAGGCUCAACCUUGGGAUGCGGGUGGAUACUGCCGGGCUAGAGUCCGGAAGAGGCGAGUGGAAUCUUGGUGUAGCGGUGAAAUGCGUAGAUAUCAAGAGGAACACCUGAGGUGAAGACGGGUUGCUGGGCCGACACUGACGCUGAGUGCGCGAAAGCCAGGGGAGCAAACGGG